AGAAUGACUCUCGGCAACGGAUAUCUAGGCUCUUGCAUCGAUGAAGAACGUAGCGAAAUGCGAUACUUGGUGUGAAUUGCAGAAUCCCGUGAACCAUCGAGUCUUUGAACGCAAGUUGCGCCCGAAGCCAUCCGGUUGAGGGCACGUCUGCCUGGGCGUCACAU
rnacentral:rRNA from 1 species